AUUGAACGCUGGCGGCAUGCCUUACACAUGCAAGUCGAACGGCAGCACGGGUGCUUGCACCUGGUGGCGAGUGGCGAACGGGUGAGUAAUACAUCGGAACGUACCUUAUCGUGGGGGAUAACGCAGCGAAAGCUGUGCUAAUACCGCAUACGCCCUGAGGGGGAAAGCGGGGGAUCGAAAGACUUCGCGCGAUUAGAGAGGCCGAUGCCGGAUUAGGUUGUUGGUGGGGUAAAAGCCCACCAAGGCGACGGUCAGUAGCUGGUCUGAGAGGACGAUCAGCCACACUGGGACUGAGACACGGCCCAGACUCCUACGGGAGGCAGCAGUGGGGAAUUUUGGACAAUGGGGGAAACCCUGAUCCAGCAAUGCCGCGUGAGUGAAGAAGGCCUUCGGGUUGUAAAGCUCUUUUGUCAGGGAAGAAACACCGGCUCUAACACAGUCCGGGAAUGACGGUACCUGAAGAAUAAGCACCGGCUAACUACGUGCCAGCAGCCGCGGUAA
rnacentral:rRNA from 1 species